UGCGCAAUAAACUGUGUAGGAGUUUAUGAUUGCAAUAGAAUAAAAUCGACCAAGCCUGAAGUCAGCAGCCCCUUCAAUGAAUGCAGCAGUGUGACAGCCAACAAUCAAAAGUUACAAGAUAUCGAGGAAAUGCAGAAGGCAAAAAACUGCGUAGGAGAUCAUUAAUACAAAAGUAUUAUAUAAACCAAACCUGAUGUUGCCAGCUCCUUCAAUGAAUGCAGCAGUGUGACAGCCAGCAAUCAAAAGUAACAAGAUGUCGAGGAAAUGCAGAAGGCAAAAAACUGCGUAGGAGAUCAUUAAUACAAUAGUAUUAUAUAAACCAAGCCUGAUGUUGGCCGCUCAUUCAAAGAAUGCAGCAGUGUGACAGCCAGCAAUCAAAAGUAACAAGAUGUCGAGGAAAUGCAGAGUGCAAUAAACUUUGUAGGAGAUUAUGAUUGCAAUAGAAUAAAAUCGACCAAGCCUGAAGUUCUUCAAUGCACGCAGCAGUGUGACAGCCAGCAAUCAAAAGUUACAAGAUAUCGAGGAAAUGCAGAAGGCAAAAAACUGCGUAGGAGAUUAUUAAUACAAUAGUAUUAUAUCAACCAAGCCUGAUGUCGGUAGCUUCUUCAAUGAAUGCAGCAGUGUGACAGCCAGCAAUCAAUAGUGAUAGUGACAAGAAUCUAGGAAAUACAGAAGACAAAGAAGCAGAUGUCAUCAAAGAAGAUCUUUGUUCCUGCAAUGUUUCCGCAGACGAUACAUCCAACAGAGCGAAGUGGAAGGAAAAGACUCGGAAAAAAGACCCCACCACCAUAUGGGAACAAUGCAAGGGAGAGAGAGAGA
rnacentral:lncRNA from 1 species